UUUGCAUCUUUCUCCCCCAAGCUAGAGGAAGUGCUGGAGGAAGUCACGGAUUAAAAGAAUGGGGCGCAGGCUUAGGUUAGGGGCUCUUCUUGGCAGCUUUCCCUUUUAGCUAGAAACCCCAAUUACCUUUACGCUGUUAACCCUCGACGGCACGGGUCAGUGGUGUACCCACUUGGAGUUCCUUAUCUCAGAAAGCCCUUUCUCUCCCUUUAAACACGAGCUUUAAACUAAUCAGCUGCCGUUGUCCAGUGAUUCAGCUCCAGCUCCCUGGGGGGACACCAGCAAAUCACAGGACAGCUGCUCUUAACACGGAGAAUGUAGAGCUGCGCACAGGGUGUUGGGGGAAGGUCAUGGCCGUGGCACUGGAAGGGAGGGCCAGAGGAGAGAGGAGGUCUGGAUGGCCCUUUCGCUUUCGCCUUGGGAACGAGGAUGAGCCUGUCUUUGAUGCCUUGACUGGUUCUGCACUCUUUUCCUCCCGUCCUAAAUUCAGCGACGUGAUACGUAUUUAAGGAGUCGGCCAAACCUCAAAUUACACUGUCUGAGAACCGAGCCACUGCAAAGAAAGCAGUUCGGUUAUUGGCAUGAAACGACAGGACGCUGGCGCGUGGAGAAACCACUAGUAAAAGUGGAAGGAAACGGCUUCGGAAGAUACGGUUACCUGUGUAAAGGAAGCUCAAGUACCUACCGUCCAUUUCUGAUCAAGCCUGAAAUUCUUGUGGCCGGAAGUCUGAAAUCAAGAUGUCUGCAGGGCCACACUCCCACCGAAAUGUGUAAGAGAGAAGGCUUCCUUGGCUCUUCUAGUUUCUGGUGUUUUCUGGCAAUCCUUGGUGUUCCUCGGCUUCUAGAUGCAUCUCUCCAAUCUCUGCCCCUGUCGUCACAUGGCUGUGAUGUCUGUGUGUCUCUGUGCCUCUUCUUAUAAGGACACUAGUCAGAACGGACAGUCACCCUAUGACCUCAAUAUUAACUUAAUCAGACCUGCAAAGACCCUAAGUCCCAAUCAGGUCAUGUUUACAAUGAAUGGGGGUUGGGCCUCAACACAUGUCUUUGGGCGGUGGGGGGACUCAGCUAAACCCUUAGCUUAUGCUGUUGUGUCCAUGGAGACUCCCUUCCGGGAAAGUAUGUCUUCGUCAUACGUCCUUUAAUUAUUCCAAUUCCUGUGUCAAUGAUUUCUUAUUGUAAAAUUUCUACAUUUGACUUAGAGAAUGGUUUCGCUUUCCAUGUAGCUGGGCUAUAGGAAAAUAAGGCCCUGACUGACUAUAUGUGGACUGGGGUUUUCCAUUUCCAGAGAGAAUAAUGUCUCAGUGUAAGCUAAUAACCUGGCUUUCCACUUUGAUUCAUCUCAUGAUCUGUCUCUGCAAAGAGAGGAGCAGCUACCAUCUCUGUGCCAACAAAACCAAAUUUCUGAACUUCUAGAGGCUGAGGAAUAAACUUUGUGCUAACUUACCAAGAUAACGACCAAUCAUAAGGAGCACAAGGCAGCUGUGGCAUCUGGGUAUUCCCCGGGCCAACGACCCAGUAUUACACUUGCCAUGUGGUCCCGUGUGAGGCCUGUUAUUUGUCUUGUUUUGGAUUUCCAAUAUAUGGGCUUUUGUUCUGUGUGAGGAAUAACUAUUCCAAAGAGCGUUUGGUCCCCUUGGUAAAGCAAACAAAACUCCCAACCACAGACAAAAAGAGUUGAUUAAAACCAAGAAUGUUUCAGAUCUUGUCUCAGAUUCAAACUUACUAAGAAAACAGAUAAUUUUUAAAGAAAAUUGGUAGGAUUGUUGGUAUAAUGAAGUAACCCAAUGCAUCAGUCAAAAGAAUCCUGAUCAUGGCAAAGUCUCAAAUCUCUGAGGUUAUGAAAUCAAAUUUCAGCAGAUUCAUUCUAGAGGACAGCGGGGUUUUCUUUUUCAAUUUUAAGUGAAUUAACUAGUGAGGAAAUCCAGUGCAGAUGUAUAAUGUUUAUGACAGGCAGUGAAUCUGGCACCUUCCAUGGCAAUAAAACAGAGACACCUGCACCCUGUUCAGCUAAGGCAGAAGACACUGGCAUAAACAGUGGUUGUGCGAAGAUGAGGACCAGAUGACUGAUGGGGCUCUUUCAAGGGAAUGGCUGAGGUAGGAACCGACCAGAGGUGGGGGAGGUUAUUUAGUUGACCAGGGUCCAGAUGGCAGGCAGGCUUGCCUGAAGGGUAGCACUGUAGGGCUGCGGGGAGGAAAGGCAGGGUUAAGCUGACCUGGAGCAAAUCUCUCAGGACAGUGCUUCUCAGAUGCCAGUGUGCCCAAGAGAAUCACCGGGAGAGCUUUUUAAAAACACAGAUUCUGAUUCGGUACACCUGGAGUGAGGCCCAUAUAUCUGCAUUUCUAUCAAGGUGAGGCAAAUGCUGCUGGUCUGUGAACCCCAUUUUGAGUAGCACAGUGCUAGAAAACACCUCAAAGCUGGGAGUCGCUACUGGAGUUAAUUUUCUGUGGAAACAGCGAGUGCUCAGAGAAAGAGGAGCUUGGGAAAGCAGUGUUAGGGUGUGUAUCUGUUAGCACGGUGCAGCUGCUAAUGGCAGGCAUCUGAGAGCCCAAUGUUAAUCACACCUAGCAAGUAGAAAGCUUAUAAGGGUUUCCCAGGGUUUUUCCAGUUGGGCAACGCCUCUCAGAAGGUAGAAAAGCCAGAUGGUUUUAAAUAGCUCGCUCU